rnacentral:rRNA from 1 species
AUUGAACGCUGGCGGCAGGCCUAACACAUGCAAGUCGAGCGAGCGGCGGACGGGUGAGUCAUGUCUGGGAAACUGCCUGAUGGAGGGGGAUCACUACUGGAAACGUUAGCUAAUACCGCAUACCAUCAGAUGUGCCCAGAUGGGAUUAGCUAGUAGGUGGGGUAACGGCUCACCUAGGCGACGAUCCCUAGCUGGUCUGAGAGUAUGCCCAGCCACACUGGAACUGAGACAGUGUUCUGACUCCUACGGGAGGCACAAGUGGGGAAUAUUGCACAAUGGGCGCAAGCCUGAUGGAGUCAUGCCGGGUGUGUGAAGAAGGCCUUCGGGUUGUAAAGCACUUUCAGCGGGGAGGCGUUACCCGCAGAAGAAGCACCGGCGAACUCCGUGCCAGCAGCCGCGGUAAUUC